rnacentral:rRNA from 1 species
UACGUAGGGUGCAAGCGUUAUCCGGAAUUAUUGGGCGUAAAGAGCUCGUAGGCGGUUUGUCGCGUCUGCUGUGAAAACCCGAGGCUCAACCUCGGGCCUGCAGUGGGUACGGGCAGACUAGAGUGCGGUAGGGGAGAUUGGAAUUCCUGGUGUAGCGGUGGAAUGCGCAGAUAUCAGGAGGAACACCGAUGGCGAAGGCAGAUCUCUGGGCCGGUAUUGACGCUGAGGCGCGAAAGCCAGGGGAGCAAACGGG